rnacentral:rRNA from 1 species
AGAGUUUGAUCAUGGCUCAGAUUGAACGCUGGCGGCAGGCUUAACACAUGCAAGUCGAGCGGAGUGAUGGUGCUUGCACUAUCACUUAGCGGCGGACGGGUGAGUAAUGCUUAGGAAUCUGCCUAUUAGUGGGGGACAACAUUUCGAAAGGAAUGCUAAUACCGCAUACGUCCUACGGGAGAAAGCAGGGGAUCUUCGGACCUUGCGCUAAUAGAUGAGCCUAAGUCGGAUUAGCUAGUUGGUGGGGUAAAGGCCUACCAAGGCGACGAUCUGUAGCGGGUCUGAGAGGAUGAUCCGCCACACUGGGACUGAGACACGGCCCAGACUCCUACGGGAGGCAGCAGUGGGGAAUAUUGGACAAUGGGCGCAAGCCUGAUCCAGCCAUGCCGCGUGUGUGAAGAAGGCCUUAUGGUUGUAAAGCACUUUAAGCGAGGAGGAGGCUACUGAAGUUAAUACCUUCAGAUAGUGGACGUUACUCGCAGAAUAAGCACCGGCUAACUCUGUGCCAGCAGCCGCGGUAAUACAGAGGGUGCAAGCGUUAAUCGGAUUUACUGGGCGUAAAGCGCGCGUAGGCGGCUAAUUAAGUCAAAUGUGAAAUCCCCGAGCUUAACUUGGGAAUUGCAUUCGAUACUGGUUAGCUAGAGUGUGGGAGAGGAUGGUAGAAUUCCAGGUGUAGCGGUGAAAUGCGUAGAGAUCUGGAGGAAUACCGAUGGCGAAGGCAGCCAUCUGGCCUAACACUGACGCUGAGGUGCGAAAGCAUGGGGAGCAAACAGGAUUAGAUACCCUGGUAGUCCAUGCCGUAAACGAUGUCUACUAGCCGUUGGGGCCUUUGAGGCUUUAGUGGCGCAGCUAACGCGAUAAGUAGACCGCCUGGGGAGUACGGUCGCAAGACUAAAACUCAAAUGAAUUGACGGGGGCCCGCACAAGCGGUGGAGCAUGUGGUUUAAUUCGAUGCAACGCGAAGAACCUUACCUGGCCUUGACAUAGUAAGAACUUUCCAGAGAUGGAUUGGUGCCUUCGGGAACUUACAUACAGGUGCUGCAUGGCUGUCGUCAGCUCGUGUCGUGAGAUGUUGGGUUAAGUCCCGCAACGAGCGCAACCCUUUUCCUUA